CUUUCACCAAUCUUCUCUCCCCUCCCUAUCUCCGAGAUUCUGAUUCAGGAAAGUUGGACAUCCAUGAAAAUUACUAAGAAGCGAAUGGCAAAGGUGGUUGAAGCAACCACAAAGUUUAAAGUGUGUGCAGGUCAGCCUCAAGUUGGUAAAUCUAUUAACAGAACGAGGGGCCGAUGUCCCAAACCUACAGGGAAAAGUGAAGAACUUUUGGUAAAAAAAGAUGAGCAUUCUUUGCCUUGCGGGUCGGCUGAAGCAUACCCACCUCUUUUAGACAAAAGUAAAUGUUAUACAGAAACAAAAGAGAGAUCACCUAUUCCUGAACAAUAUCCAGAGCAAACUCUUCAUACUUCUGCAAAGGUCAAGUUGCAGCUUUUUCCAUAUGAUGAAGUCACUCGCAUGGGAUUGGAGAAGGAUGGGUAUCAUCCGUACUUAGAACUCACUCUUAGUGCUAGGAAAAAGAUAUCUUCUGUCCUUAAGCACCUGAAUAACAAAUGGGGUGGUUCAAGCAUUGCUAAUGGGGAGCCCAUUCUUUUCCCAUACACACUAUCUGAAGAUUUAGCUAGUUACAGAUGGACAUUGAAUGAUGAUGGCCUCACUGCAGGAGAUGUCUAUGUGUCUAUUGGACGCCCUUCUAUUUUUCGCUUAAGGUAUGGCUGGUUCUCCAAUUGUGAAAAUAAAUUGUCUGGAGCGCCUUCAGUAUCAACUCCCUUUGAGGUUUGUUUACAAUCUCAAGGCAUUCAGAAGGGAGGCAGUAGUAAUAUGGAAAGUAUACUUGGCAAGGAGAAACAAAUGGAGGUAACGAGUGAAGAGUUGAAAGCAGCUGUAAGUGUGGCGGAUAAGACAACUUUGAAUGGAUUAACUGAACCUAUGUGCAAUGAAGUGAAGAUGCAUCUAGGCAUGGGGCAGUCAUCCUGUCUGUGGGAUGAUAGUCUAACCAACAUAAGUAUUGGAGGCCUGCUGUCUGAGGCAUCCUUGCAGGGCAAGUUCAGUAAUUGUGAUCCAAAAUCAGAUGGAAGUAAUGCAGGCUUGCAGCCAUCUCAGUUAAUCUCUGAUUCAUUUGAUGCUUUUAUCAUGGCCCAAGUAAAUCAUUCCCAAGCUCCAAAGCCACCUUCUCAUGGUUCAAGCUCAUCCAUUUUGGACGCUGAAGACACUUGUCAUGCAUUUCCUUUUCAAAAGUUUUCUUCCUCAGGCAAAGAUGGAAGUGCUUAUGCUCGUACCUGCAGCCAGGAUGCCGUUUCCAAGUCAUUUAAACAACCAAUCACUAGUGAGGUUAACAUCCAAUCUGGCCUUCCACAAGGCCAUGGCUGUCAAGAAUCCAAAACAGACUUGUCACUUUGUUGUCAAUUUUAUAACGAUGAAAGCAGCCUUGGGCUCUCAGGAAUCAAAUGGACAGACUCUUUGGGACCAUUUGAUCUUGGCCUAUCUUCUUCUAAAAGGAUUAUUAGUGGUGACAGUUUAAGCAUUAGCAGAGUUGUUAGCUAGCAGUACGAUCACAUUGCAACUCUUUUGAAGAUAGAAAGAUAUCUUGAAGAUGCUCAUGCAGUACAGUAGUUGGAAACUGAAGCGAAUAAGUUAAAACCUGCUGAUUGGACAAGCAACAUAGAAUAUCGUUUUUCAAUCUGUUUAUAUGUUCAAUUUAAUUUAUCAUUAGGCUCCGGUGCAAAUUAAAGAAAUGCCAAAGGAAGGGAGCAUAACUUUUUGAUUUCCAUGAACAUGAGAUCAAAGUCGGAGGUACAUAUGGAUAAAUUUGUUUUUUUCCAUUGUUGAUUUUGAUGGUGGCAAUCAUAUAUACAGGGAUAUUACCUUGAUAGCUCUGCAUUGCUUUUGUCUCAUGUAACAAAUACAAUGAAGUUC
rnacentral:misc_RNA from 1 species